GGGUGCAAUUUGCCGGCUAGAGGCAGGGACCUCCCACCCCCGGCUCGGCUCUCCUUCCCCCGGCCCGGGUGCAGCCCGCGGUACGUACCUGGCAAAGUCUGGCCAGAGCGCUCACUUGCAUGGAGACCGUCGGGAAAGGCGGAGAGAUGGGAGCCACUGAGAAAGCCAGCCCCGAGCCAAGGGGCCAGAGCUACCGGGGCUUCCCCCUCCGCCGCCAAGCACCACCAGCAACAAGUUCCAGGGUGGGGGGAGGAAGCAGCGUAAUCGCGCCUGGCAAGUUAAUGCAGCGCGUCUUUCCCGAGGAGCAGAGCUUGCGGCGGGGUGGCCCCUGUCAGGAGGGAGUCGCGCCGCUGCCCAUGCCGCCGGGCUGCUGAGGGGCUGCAGAUGGCCGCGGACUGGAUGGGGAAGACGCACUGGCGAGGCAGAGGGCACAGCAGGGUUUCUCUCUCCUGCCCCUCCAGUGGGUGGGCCAUGCCUCGCCAAGCUGGGAGAGGAGCGACUGCUGCUGCGGCUGCAGGUUGUUAUUUUCCAGGCGGCUGCUUCUCCUUUCCGCUCCUGCAAAUGCCACCGAAGGAAGCAGCCCGACGAGGUGGCGUGAAGGAGGAGGACAUCGAUCCGAGAGAGGAACAAAGAGAAUUACAAAUCGUUACACGCCGGGUUGCGGUGCAGGCGAGGACAUGGGGUGGCGUGUGGAUGACGAGAAGUUAAUUCCUCACCUUUCCUAAAACUGCCCUGCUGUAGGGACCGAGGGAGAGAAGCAAUCUGCACCCAACUAAUCGUUCUUAUUAGAAGAUCUAAUUAGAACCAAAAUUACCAAUGGGGAAAGAUAUGUCCAGUAAUUAGAAAAAUCCAUCGGGUUUUUAUUUUGUAAUCGCUACAGUAGUUUUUAAGAGUGUGGCUUUUUUAAAAACAGAGAAUGUAAAUUUAGGCAAAUUGUGCAUCUUUCAGUAAAAAGUACAGAAGUUAGUGAUAUGGUUUCCUAAAUUUGAAAUUCUGUUUUACUAGUAUCUUGUAAGCAAAACGAAUGCUUUGUAUUUCAGAAUUAAAAUACUUAAAAUAAUCAGUCUUUUAAACUGAGUUUGCAAAAAGGUUGUUAUUUCUCUUCUUCACUCAUGUUUGAUUUGGCUUAGUAAUAACAUGAAGAUCUAUAAAUCUAUCAUAUAGUAAUUUGCCUCCUUCACAUUUCAGUAUCUGAAACAGUGCCUUUUUAGCUAAUUCUUUCACUGUUGUUAUAUCUCUGGACACUGCCUUAGAAGUCUGGCUUAUAAGAAGGAGAGACAAAUCACCACAUCUGGCAAAUCAUUAAAAAGUAGGAAGUAUAGCAAAGUCUAAAACGGUGUAUAUACUGUACUUUUAAGUGGACUUGGAUGUUUUUAAAUAGUAUGGUUAACUUUUAACAUUUAAAACUGUAUUGUUUUGGAUUCCUAUUGAGUACUCUAGCAUGAAAAAUCUACACGUUCCCCUGAGAGAGAUUUGAAAAAAGUGAGUUUUCUACAUAAAUUAAGAUCUAAGGAUCAUGAAGUGUAUAACCCAUCUAAUUUCUAAAUUAGGAGAACUUUGGAUCAGGAGCAUCAAAUCAAGCUUGCUAAAAUAAUGUUAAAGGAAAAGGAGCCCUUCCAUUAUUUUAUUAGAAGUGUUAUGAUUCAUAUCUAAACGCUCAGUAUAUUAAUCCUACAUUUUUCUGUUGUCAGCAACAUGUAUGCAGAAG
ensembl:lncRNA